rnacentral:rRNA from 1 species
AGAGGCAUGCAAGUCGUACGCACAGCAAUGUGAGUGGCGCAAGGGUGAGUAAUGCGAAGGUAACCAACCCUGGAGUUGGGCAUAGCCGCGGGAAACUGCGGGUAAUUCCCAGCGAUGUUACGAGGUGGCAUCAUCUUGUAACCAAAGGUGUGAUUCCGCUCUAGGACGGGCCUUCGUGGUAUUAGCUAGUUGGUGGGGUAACGGCCUACCAAGGCAACGAUGCCUACCGGGUGUGAGAGCAUGACCCGGCACACUGGAACUGAGACACUGUCCAGACACCUACGGGUGGCUGCAGUCGAGAAUCUUCGGCAAUGGGCGAAAGCCUGACCGAGCGACGCCGCGUGAGGGAUUGAAGGCCUUCGGGUUGUAAACCUCUUUCGUAGAGGAGGAAGGGACUGUGAAGAGCAGUUCUUGACCUAUUCUAGGAAGAAGCUUGGGCUAAGUUCGUGCCAGCAGCCGCGGUAAGACGAACCAAGCGAACGUUAUUCGGAAUUACUGGGCUUAAAGCGCGUGUAGGCGGACUGCCACGUCGGUUGUUGAAAUCCCCCGGCUUAACCGGGGAACAGGCACCGAUACGAGUAGUCUUGAGGUGGGUAGGGGAGACUGGAACUUCCGGUGGAGCGGUGAAAUGCGUUGAGAUCGGAAGGAACGCCCGCGGCGAAAGCGAGUCUCUGGCCCCAUACUGACGCUGAGACGCGAAAGCCAGGGGAGCAAACGGGAUUAGAUACCCGGUAGUCCUGGCUGUAAACAUUGGGCACUGGGUAGUGGAACCGCCGAUGGUUUUCACUGCCCGCAGGGAAACCGUGAAAGUGCCCCGCCU